rnacentral:rRNA from 1 species
UAGAGGAAGUAAAAGUCGUAACAAGGUUUCCGUAGGUGAACCUGCGGAAGGAUCAUUACUGAGAGUACCAGGCUCUGCUUGGUUACUUUUACCCAUGUUUUUUAGUACCAAAAGUUUCCUCGGCGGCUCUGCCCGCCGGUCGGACUCCAUUCAAACCCUUUGUAGUUGCAGUCAGCGUCUGAAAAACUUAAUAAUUACAACUUUCAACAACGGAUCUCUUGGUUCUGGCAUCGAUGAAGAACGCAGCGAAAUGCGAUAAGUAGUGUGAAUUGCAGAAUUCAGUGAAUCAUCGAAUCUUUGAACGCACAUUGCACCUCUCGGUAUUCCGGGAGGUAUGCCUGUUCGAGCGUCAUUUGUACCUUCAAGCUUUGCUUGGUGUUGGGUGUUUGUUCCGCCUUUGCGUGUGAACUCGCCUUAAAACAAUUGGCAGCCGGCGUACUUGUUUCGGAGCGCAGCACAUUUUUGCGUUUUGAUCAGUGUACACUGGCAUCCAAGAAGCCUUUUUUAAGCUCUUGACCUCGGAUCAGGUAGGGAUACCCGCUGAACUUAAGCAUAUCAAUAAGCGGAGGA